rnacentral:lncRNA from 1 species
UUUGUGUCUCUGUGUGUAAGUUCAUUUUGUCACUUUCUUGGGAUCCUGUAUGUCUUGUUCUAGGUAUGUCUUGUAGCAUUAUUCACUGCAUGAAGAUGUAGCACAUGUGACCAUCGAAGCCUACAAGAAAUAACAAGGAGUUCUCACAGGUAUCUUUUUGCUCUAUAGACAGACAACGUCCCCAGAGGAAGGAAGAUCUGAGUGUGGCUUGCUGCUCCUGGGGAAUAAAUGUCAGCCUUGGUGCAGCACCUGGGGUAGCCAAAAACUCACAAUCUUUGGGACAUACCCAUUUCCAGAAAGCUUCAGAGACAGACAAUGCCAGAGAGGAAGGAAGAUCUGAGUGUGGCCUGCUGCCCCCAGGCCAGUCGAUGUGUCUUGGUCUAGAAUCUGGGGUAGGCAGACUCUCGUCCCGUGGGGCAUACUCAUUUCCAGAAAGCAUCAGAGAUAAGCUAACUCAAGUCCCUGUGCGUAGAUGCAAUGAGUGGGAAGUGCAUUGUUUGGCAUGAUGAAUUGAAUGCAUAUAGUCCUGAAGAGAGAUGAUGACCCAAAAGUCAUGCUCAG